GUCUCUCUCACUCUUCUCUGACUAUUGACAGCCUCAUUCGAAGGUGUGGAACCCUCUCUUAAGAACGGAACAUGAAAUUUACGAAUCUAUUUGCCUUUUUGAGUAGUGUUUAUCCAAUAUCUUACCAAGAUAUGCUCACAGAGCUACUAACCAUGAUUUGGCUGUUUUCUGUAGCUUUUUUUUUUUUUACAGUUAUUGUGAGAUCUCUUGCACUUUCAUAUUCGGGAUGGGUUUUUGUUUUGUGUACCAGUGCUUGUGUUAACGGAAACGGACAAAAUUUUGCCAUGUUAUUUGAGUUGUGGCAUUUAUGUUUUGAUGUAAUGAAGAGGCAUACUAUAGGGAUUGAGAUUUCUUAUCCCAACUCCCAGUGUCACAAUAUGCUUAUGUUUGCCAGUGUGUUACUAGUAUUUGUGAGUAUCGUCUCUUUCAUGGGCAGACUUUGCUAUGUAGAUGAAUAAUGAGGAUCUGUUUUAGUCUUUUUUGGCAUACUUCCUGUGCAUAGAGUUUGUGCCCUGUUUGGCACCUUUUAAGUGAAUUAAGUCAAUCAAAAAAUACCAACUAAGCUUAAUCCGAUUUUUUAAGGUGGUUCCAUAUGGGUAUUAUAUAGGUUGAGUUGUUUAGUUUCCUUCAAGUGGUGCGUGUGAAUUUCAAGUAUCUCAAAGGACUCGACAUUUUAAGUUUGCUUUUCAAGUACCUAAAAAGACUCGUCAUUUUAAAUUUGCUAAGUCGACUAAUAUCGGUAAUUCCUAUUUUUAUGCAGAAUGUACUAUAUUGACACAUUUUAGAUUCACAGUCUUUCCCUCUAGAGAUACCUUCAUAUCCCAAACUAUGGAAUGGAGCUUAUUCUAUUUUAGAAAGAUAUACAACAAUGGUUGAUACUGCUGAGGUUGUGAGGCAAGUGAUUUCCACCUUCUUUUGUGGGCUAAAUGGAUAUAUGAUCCCUAACUUGUGCUUUAUUGACUUUUUGUCUUCUAAGAUCAUACCUGAUCUUUCCUCCAAUAAAUUUUCUUUUCUGCAAUUAUGCUCAGAGAUGAGGGAUUAAUGUAUUGGCUAAACUUCAUGUCCCAGGACAUGCUCAAUCUGGGACUGUUGAGUCGUGUUUGCUUGUUGGAGCUCCAACAAUAAGUAAGGAAAUGCUUCUCAUAGUUAUAGAGUUCAUUACUUUUCCUAUUUUGUGUUUUGAAUAGUUUUGGAGCUUUUGG